GAUGAACGCUGGCGGCGUGCCUAAUACAUGCAAGUCGAGCGAAGCGGGGACGGGUGAGUAACACGUGGAUAACCUCCUAUAAGGCUGGGAAACCUUCGGGAAACCGGGCCUAAACCCGAACCUUAUAGCAGGAUCCUAGCUGCAUUAGCUAGUUGGUAAGGUAACGGCUUACCAAGGCAACGAUGCAUAGCCGACCUGAGAGGGUGAUCGGCCACACGGGAACUGAGACACGGUCCAGACUCCUACGGGAGGCAGCAGUAGGGAAUCUUCCGCAAUGGGCGAAAGCCUGACAGAGCAACGCCGCGUGAGUGAUGAAGGUCUUCGGAUCGUAAAACUCUGUUAUUAGGGAAGCGGUACCUAAUCAGAAAGCCACGGCUAACUACGUGCCAGCAGCCGCGGUAAUUC
rnacentral:rRNA from 1 species